rnacentral:rRNA from 1 species
UACGUGAGGGGCGAACGUUGUUCGGUGUCACUGGGCUUAAAGGGUGCGUAGGUGGUUGUGUAAGUAACGUGUGAAAUCCCCCGGCUUACCCGAGGAAUUGCGCGUUAUACUGCACGGCUUGAGGUACAGAGGGGAAAGAGGAACUCCAGGUGUAGCGGUGAAAUGCGCAGAUAUCUGGGGGAAGGCCGGCGGCGAAGGCGUCACUCUGGGCCGGUACUGACGCUGAGGAGCGAAAGCGUGGGGAGCGAACAGG